GCUUGAAGACAUUGUGCUAGAUGGACUAAGCCAUAUACAAAAUACAAGUAUUGUAUGAUUCCACUUAUAUGUGAUACCAAGAAUAGUCAAAUUUACAGAAACAAAAAGUAGAUUAGAGGUUAAUAGGGGCUACUUGUAGUGGUUGGGAAUGGGAACUUAUUUCUUAAUAAAUAUAGAGUUUCUGUUUGGAGUGAUGAAAUAGUUGUGAUACUUACACAAUACUGUGAAUGUAAAAAAAAAAAAAAAAAAAAAAAAAAAAA
rnacentral:lncRNA from 1 species